ensembl:Y_RNA Y_RNA Y RNA
GGCUGGUCCAAAGGUAGUGAGUUAUCUCAAUUGACUGUUCACAGUCAGUUACAGAUCGAACUCCUUGUUCUAUUCUUUCCAUCCUUCUCACUACUGCACUUGACUAGUCUUAA